rnacentral:SRP_RNA from 1 species
GCUGGGUUUGGUGGCUCACGCCUGUGAUCCCAGCACUUUGGGAGGCUGAGGUGGGUGGAUCAUCUGAGGUCAGGAGUUCAGCCUGGCCAACUCUACUAAAAAUACAAAAAUUAGCCGGGCAUGGUGGCGGGUGCCUGUAAUCCCAGCUAGUGNNNNNNNNNNCUAAUUUUUGUAUUUUUAGUAGAGUUGGCCAGGCUGAACUCCUGACCUCAGAUGAUCCACCCACCUCAG